CAAGAAUUGAGACGAUGCUCGGUUGGCAAACCUACUAGAACACAUUUGCUUUAAUUUCAUUAAUCUUUAAAAAAAUCAUUUGCCAUGAAAGUGUGCUAGACAAAAAGGGGGAAAUGACUGGUGUUAAAAAAACUUAUAAAAUUCAUAUCAAUAGAAUAGGGCCAUUACAAAGGAAAUAAGAAAACUAAAAAACUGAUGAGAGCAAUUGGAUAGCUCUAUAACACUUAAUCUAACGUGGAUUAAUCCUUGAAGGUAGAAAACAAGCCCAGAUUCCGGCGAAGCGACUGGCCAAAGUGAAACCCUUUCUCUUGGAGCUUUAAGAAUUGGAAAAUAUGGCGAACAAAAACCCACAUCCCUCCGCUUAAAAAUGGAUAUAGAACGUGAUCACGAAGAGUAAUUAAUGCAACUAAAAAGGCAGACCCAUUUGCACGCUGAAUAGAUUGGAGAUAUGACUGUUGGAAUCGCAAGUCCGGUAUUGGGGGAGCUGUAGGAACAGUAUAUUCGACAGCUUCACUGUGAUCCGUACCAGAGCUACUAGGAGAUAUCACUGUUUUUCCCUCGAAUAUAGUGGGAAGCUCUGCCUCUUCGACGGCAGAUUCUGAAUCCUCAGUUUCCCAAUUACUGCUAUCAUCUUCUUCUUUACUCUGGAGCAAACUAAGAGAACUUGUUGAGCUCUCUACAGCACCAAGUUCAUACUUGUUAUGCAACGUUGAGUUCUCAGGAAUACUUUCGUUCACGUCUAUCUUCUUUAGUUGAUUAUUGAUAAUUAUAGUGGAUGAACUCAAAUGUUCCAUUCGCAGUGGAGAAGACGCGUAUCCUGAAUCUCCAUGAGCACUUCGAAUGCCUGAUCUUUGCAAAGCGUCUUGACUGGAGCCUAAGCUGAUCAAUUCGUAAUCUUCUUCCCACGAACUAACGUCGCUGGUUUUGUUAGAAUCAGAGCGGGGAAUUGGUAUUCCUUUGCUUUCAGAAGACAUUAAUAAAGCUUCUCUAAAAUCAAUGUCUAAUGAACAGAAAUGGGUAAGCACAAGAAUGAUCCCAAUUCUUUGUUGUUUACGUUAAUAUGGAUUCCCGAUAGCGCCACAUCUACGGUGUUGCGCGAUAAUUGUAUUACACAAAACUACGUUAAGGGCACAUGUAUCUUUUGAAUAAGUUAAGCAAUAAAGAUAUAACAUUUUAAAUGUCAGGAUGCUGAAAGCAAUAAUUAAAGAUAAUGAUAUUAUUAAUUUAUUAAAUCUAACGGUCAAAUUUUCGGUGACUCUAAGGAACGAAAUGACUAACGGGUAACUUCGUAUGCAAAAUUUUAAAACUCAUAAAAUAAAU